CAUAUCAUAUUCACAGCCCUGCCUCGACGGAAUCCGCCCUUUGUCAACCCGAAAUGUUGCAUUUUUGUUUUCCCUCUCAUCAUUUAAAAUGCCGAAAUAUGUAUAAUUAAUAUUAAUGCCUCUUACAGUUUCAGUUGUUUUCAGGAAGGGACGGGAUUGUGUAUCCGACCGUUCUCAUUUCAAGGUCACUUGUAAGCUGUACUCCCAAAAGGAAAAAACAUCACUAAGGAGAUGGAGCAACAUGAGCUACCAGGUGUUCAACUGGGAUGGGAUUCGGUGACUGCGAAGGCCAUAACAUAUGAUUGACAUUAUUAUCAUACUUACCAAACCAUUAAGUGACCCCUCGUGCCCUCUGAGUUGGGGCGCUGUCAUCCUGGAAGAGACGGCGACCAUCAAGAUAGGACUGUUUCAGAAUAACUUCCCUCCAAGGGGAAGAAGUGAACCCAGACCAUGUGUUUGGUAAUGAGGGGUUCAUCCACUGCAACCCUGUUAUAACAUCUCUCUCUCUGUGGAGUUCUUGACAGAUUGUUCCUGCUGACAAAUUCUGAUCACGUACUGCACUGGCAUUCUCAGUCACCUGGGAGCAUCACGGUCAUCGAAUGUGUGCUUCCGCCCAUUAUUUCCGACCCUAUUUACUGAUGUCUUUACCCUGACUCUAAAUGCAGAUGUAACAUUAGUCUCUGUUCCUAUUGAAACACUAGCCAGUUCAGUGUUUGUGACUGAAG